CUACACACCGAGAGGUGUGUCUAACACUUGAGUCCUGGAGAUGGAAAGUACAGUGCCUGCACUCUGAAGGACGGGUGGGGAUAUUUGCAGUUUGGAGGACCAUCUGGACAACAGUAUUUGCUCAUCUCUGCCAUUUCCUACUAAGGCGGGAUGACCCGGAAAAAAAGAAACACUUUCAUCAUCACUCACUCCAUCACUGUCUUGCCAGAGGCGUGCCGAUACUACACUACAAAAACUGCAACAUAUCUCAACCCCUCCUUCAGAGCCCAGGAACUGUACUUCCCACCUGCUGGAGUUAGGAAGGCUGUUCUAGGUGCUACCAAUCAUUCUGGAGGAGACUUUAAGUGACAUUUAGGCCAGAAACGUCGUCUGAUGUUUGGGUUCCAGGAAGCGAGUGAUGUCUCACCUGUUCCAGUUAUCGUAAUCACGCUAGGAAGUUUUGCAGAAGCCUGUGAAGUUUUCCAGCACGCGAAGAAGUUUUCCAGAAGCAGGCUGGAAAACACGUAGAAGUCCUUCAAAGAGGAAACUGGAUCCCCCAUCUCCGCUAUAUGCCAGAUCAGCUGGGUUAUGAUGGCUGGGUGAGCCAGGGGGCCGUUAGCAGCAACAGCCUGGUUGAAUAGGCAAUCAACAGGUAAGCCUGUCCUUAAGCUUGGCUCGGAGGGUAUGAGAAUCCUGGAUGGCCCGACACAGGCACAAGCGCAUGUGUGUGUCAUCGUUAAGCAAGAUUCAGGAGCUGGAACCUCCUUUUGUAUGCAUCUUCAAACUUCGUCUCUCCUACUGUUUGCACAAACAAAGCACCCUUACUGUGUGGUCUUUUUCGCCUCCCUGCUCUCACCCAGCUGUGACCUGACACUGGUGCAAGAUGAGUGGAAAUGUCCUCAUAAAAUUCCUAUCCUAAGUAGGAGUUUUUAGUGAG